GCCUUGCUGAGCAGAAGAGACUUCUUUCAAAAACAUUAAAAAGACCCCAAACUUUUAUAUACAGUACCUCUAACUUUUGGGCCUGUUUUAUAUCAGAGCGUGAGUUUUUUCUUUGACCAGCCAACAACACAUGUUUCUUCGCCAAGUGUUUAUACGUGUGUAAGUCGGAGUAUGCGGUGUGUGGUCAUCCGGAUCUGCUGGAGGGCUCCAUGUCUGCUUAUCUGCCGGGUUUGAGCAUCGCCCCUCGAAUCUCCAUCCCAAACCCCUGGAUCCGCGCCUACAGUUUCACUGGGACAGAGGAGUGGGAGGUCAACCCGUUAUACUGCGAUAACGUCAAAAAACGAUAUCCUUACAACUCUGGGAACAGACUGCUCAACAUUAUCGACAUGGCGAUAUUUGACUUUCUCACAGGAAACAUGGACAGACACCACUAUGAAGUUUUCACCAAGUUUGGAGAUGAUGGUUUCCUGCUCCACUUAGACAACGCCAGAGGAUUUGGCCGGCCUUCUCAUGAUGAGGUGUCCAUUCUUGCUCCGUUGACCCAGUGUUGCAUGAUCAAGCGCUCCACGCUGUUCAGACUGAAGCUUCUGGCGCAGUCCGAGUACCGUCUGAGCGACGUCAUGAGGGCAUCCCUCUCCAGAGACCCUCUCACGCCAGUCCUGACUGAGGACCACCUGCAGGCCUUGGACCGCCGGCUGGGCCAGGUGCUCAGGACGCUGGGAAAGUGUGUGAAGAAGCUGGGAGAACCACAAGUGGUGAUCACAGACUUUGUAGAGUCAUCCAGAGUAACUACAAGCAACAGGUGACAGAACGAGAAGAGCCAGGGUUUGAGGAGAUAUCAGCCAUCCACUGUGUUACUGACUGGGUACUUUAUGAUAACUUCCAGACUAAGCCACUGAACUAAAUCAGACCAUAUUGUCCAAAAUCAUGGCAUCUAAAGACAUCAGGAGGAAAAAGUAUUUGUAUUUCUGAUAAAUGCUCUGGGGCUGUGAGAUAUUAUUAGUCUUAAUUGUCAAAAUUGACCAAAAGUUAAAAUGAUGAGAUGCAAAGUCAUAAGUAUCACAAGUCAAAAUUAUGAUAAAAAGUCAAAAUUAUGAGAUGAAAAGUCAAAAUUAUGAGAUAAUUAUUGAGAGUUAAAGUUGGCAAAAAACAAAAUUAUGAGAUACAUAAAUUAUCAUGAAGCAUCUAAAUAUGAGAUCAACAUCAAUUCUAAAAAGUAUUUUUGUCAUUAUGACUAUGCAAUUUUACCUGUCAUGAUAACUUAGUAUCUCAUAAUUUCAACUUUCUAUCUCAUAAGUAUCACUAUCUCAUAAUGUUGACCUUUUAGCUCAUGUUUAUAACUUUGUAUUAUAAUUAUGACUGGCUAAAAUUGGCUGUGUGAUAUUACUAAAAAAGUAAAAUUGAGGAACAAAGUCAUAAUUAUAACAAAGUCAAAAUGAUCUCAAAAAUCAAAUUUAUGAGCAACCAGAGAGAUAAAAAGUUACAAUUGUGACAGCUAUAAUUAUGAGAUAAGUCGUAAUUGAGAUAAAGAGUUGAAACUGAUUUUAAACAAAAUCAAAACUAUGAGUCCAAAUUAUAAUGAAACUAAAAUAAAAAGUAAAUAAUAAAAAAACAGAAUGUAUCAUAAUCAGGACUUGUCAAUUUCUAUCUCAUAAAUUCAACUUUCUAUCUCAUAAGUAUCACUUUUACCUCAUAAUUAGGAUUGGCUAAACAGGGCUGUAAUAUAUGACUUCAGAAAGCUCCCUAACAACACAUUUAAGUGGUUGUCCUGAUCUGGUUUAGACUGAAAUCCCGAGCCAGACAGAUGAUGCAGCAUCCGCAGGAAAGAGAAGAGCUUCAGAUCUCCUUACAUCAGCACACGCACCA